rnacentral:lncRNA from 1 species
UUGUGAGAUUCUGACUGGGUAAGGCCGAGGGCCUAUGUUGUGAGGAAACACUGAUUGUGAUUUUGAGGCCGAGGGCCUGCGAUUUGUACACCAAGAGGUGGCUUGUUGAUAUGAGGUUGAGAGCCUAGUGAUGAUACCACGAUAUGGCUUGAUAUUGCACUUGGGUCGUAAGAGGCCCCUCCAGGAGUCUACACACCCCCAGUAAGCGCGGGUACCCAUUGUGAUGUGAGAUAUAGCCCGAGGGGCUGGUGUUGUUCUAUGAUAUUGCUCGAGGGGCGAUCAUUUAUGUGUUUAUCUUUCCUAUUUGCCUGUCAUUUACCUGCUUAAUUCUUCAAAAUGCAUUUCAUGAAGUUUAAACUAAACUAAAAUGACUUUACAUAUCUUCACUGAUUCACUGUUUUUUUACUGGCUUCUACUGCUUCAUUAUAGCCUCUAAUGUGCCUUACGUGAUUUCAUAUUUCUCAGUCUUUAUUUAUGAUUAUUACUCACUAAGUUGGAGUACUCACUUUACUCCCUGCAUCCGGUGUGCAGAUUCAGGCACUUCAGGUCCCGCUAGCGAGUGUUGAUCCUUCCAGCUCAGGCGGAUUCGGAGAUUCUCUAGGUAACUGUCGGCGUUCGCAGCCCAGAGCUUCUUCCCUUAUCUUAAUUUCUCUAUUUUAGCUCUGUAUUAGACUAUGUAGACUCUUCAGACUUGUAGUAUAUUGAUAGAUGCUCAUGAUUGGUGACACCCCGAUGUCGGGCUGUGUUGUUUCCGCAAAUUUUAUUAUUCACCGUAUUUUAGGAUUUUAUUAUGUUUAAUGACUUAAUUUGUACUACUUUAAAUUUCUUAAAAUGAAUUGGGAAUGUGUCGGCUGGCCUUGUCUUCGCGAGAGGCGCCAUCACGGCCGGGUCCGGGUUUAGUGGCGUGACAACAUACCCGGAACCAAAAGGUCAUCCAACUUUAUAACUGAUCGGAUCCUCAUUCUAAAUUAAGGUAUGACACUAAUAGAAAAGAAGUCACGCCAGCGUGCACUUCCCAGAAGAUUUAGAAGACUCAGAGAGAAGAAGGUUUUCGUAACAGUUUUAUAUACAGUUCGAACAAUAUCAAAGCGGUAAAAGAAGCAUUUAGCACAUUAGGCUCUAACACCUAAAAAUCACAUAAUAAACAAAAGCCAACUACAACAGACUUUCUAGCUUGAUUUCUGAACCUUGAACCAGAGAUUCUGGAUUCUACUCCCCAGCAGAGUCGCCAAAGUUGUCACACCUCCUUUUUUCCGAAAGGAAUAGAGAGUUUUUCCAAUCAAAGUGACAUUAAUCGAAAUGGGAUUAUUAAUUUAAUUCAGAGCUGCCACAUGGAAUAAUUAAUGAUAUCCCAAGUCGAUGGUUUAUUUUAAAAUCCCAAAUCAAGGAGAUUGACUCUAUUUUUUUGGUUCGCGAACACAGAAGACCGGGUAAAGAAUUCUAUUAACCCGGAAGAAGGUGUUAGGUACUCCGAGUUCCGUGAUUUUAGCAGGUUUGCUCAACUAUUAAUAACUGGCCUAAUUAUCUGAUUAAUUACAUGCUUUAAACUUAUUGUGUAUUUUUAUCUUCUAACCGCAUUUAAUUAAUUAUUUAAAUGCUUUUGUACUUGUGGAAAUUAUUUGAACAAGUUGUGAUGUCACGCACUUAUUAUUUUUGUACACAUUGCGAAUCGCAUCACGUGAAACGCACCUGCAAUCUACAACAUGCCGAUUUUAUUAUUAUCCUAAGUUGUGGUCGAGUCGUGUGAAACGCGCACUCGAAUUGGGAUUUACGUAUCAUGACCACGCCACUGGAAUUGUACUCAUAGUCACGAUGUUUUAUCAAUCGUGCCUAAAGCAAUCUACGGUAUUCAUGAAUUGAUUAGCUUUCCUAAGACUUAAGACUAAAUGUGAAAGCCCGAAUUUAUGGGAUGAUCGUGAGAAGGAAUUACAUUCACACUAGUCAACUAAGUUAAGUGGGAUUUCUACUUUCACGAAAUUAUACGGCAAUUACACCUUAUUGGCUUAUAUCUAAGAAUUCACGUGAAUUGGAUUAGUUAUGAAAAUUGCUAAGAACUGGUGAGCAAGUGUGGUUGAUGUUCAUGUUCAAGUCCCACAUAAAGGAAAGUUCUAAUCAUUAAACUAUCUAUCGCUCAGACUUUAAAUACCCAGAUAAUAAAAUUGUGGGAAUAAAUUAAAGACCCAAUCUUUAAACCUUGCGAUGGUAAAGAGUCGAAACAGAUACAACACUUAACCGUAGGAAGGAAUUGACACAAAAAAUAAUAAAAUCUGCCUUGCUUUACAUAAUAGCGGCACAAUAUAUGAUUCAAAUAACAUCAUUGACACAGUAAUCCUAUAUUACAUACAUAAUUGUCAUAAUAAAUUACAGUCUUCCUUGGAUCCAAAUACACCCUAAUAGUGCAUCGAUGGUUUCAACAUUCACUUUAGAUUAGAAACAACAAACUUUUAAACACAUCUUCAAAAUCCCAUUCUUUAGCUUUACCUACUCAUCACAUAUGUAGACAAACUAUAGUAGCUUUAUGUUUAGAGCUAUUGCUAAAGCUGCAAGAUUUAAACAAAACUUCAGACAUCAUUCAAGAUUAUCAAUCAAGUCAAACAUUAAUUACUCAUACUUAGUUGAUCAAAUUUUCAUAAGUGUCAUAUUUCAAAGCUACUUUAAUGUUUCUACUCAUGAUUGAAACAAAAAGUCCAUUAAAUCACACACUAAAAUAGCAACAAACAAAUAUUCAAAGAUCAAACAAGAGUAGAAGCAUUUCUAUUCAUUUGAUAAGAAUAAAAAUACAAAGUGAUCUUAGUACUGACCUAGUUAAGCAAGAAAGCACCAAGAUAUCCAGAUAAGAACAGAAUCUUAUUCAAACUGGAAGCUCAGUAGUAAUUUUCAACAGUGAAACCCAGGUCUCAACAGUUAAUCAAAUUUAUAAAACUCAAAAGAAAUGAAGCUGGAAGACAGAAUAAGAAAAGAUUGGAACUUUCUCUAUAUUUUGUAUUUCUGUCUCUAAAUUGGAAUUUUCAGAUUGUUUUCUUCUUCAGAGAAAUCCAUGAGGAUGAGAGUGUAUGGGUGUUUUUUCUCCCCAGAACAAUAUAAAAUCCAGUACCUUAUAUAAAGUGUGUGAUUUGUAGAAAAAGGGAGAGGAUAGAAAGGAAUCCUGUCAGCUAAAAAUUAGGGGAGGGAAUCUUUCUAAAACUGAAAAUGGACAGCUAUCCAAUUCAGACUUUCUAUAUUAUUUUAAUUAAAACUUUUAACUUCUGAAAAUUCUCC